rnacentral:lncRNA from 1 species
AUGAAAAAAUAGAAAAGAAAUAAAAAAACUUCAAAUACCACCAUUGUGGUUUUGCACUUUCUCAUUUUGUUACCCUGUGGUUUAAAAUGUAUCGAUUUAGUACUCUGUGAUUAUAUUUUUCUCUUUUUAUUGUACGUUCUACUAAUUUUUUCGUUAAAUUAGUGACAAAGUAAAAAUUAAAAAAUACUAAAAUGAAUAUUCGAUAAACCUAGAUGUGCUAUCUGAAGUUUUUUUAUACAUAAUUUAAUGAAAUAUUAACGAAGGAGCUGACGAAAAGGAAAAAAAUGAAACCACAGAAUAUUAAAUUGAUACACAUUAAAUUGUAAGAUACUAAAAUGACAAAAUAGGAAACUACAGGGUAAUAUUU